UAUACAGCGAAACUGCGAAUGGCUCAUUAUAUAAGUUAUCGUUUAUUUGAUAGUGCCUUACUACUUGGAUAACCGUGGUAAUUCUAGAGCUAAUACAUGCUAAAAACCCCGACUUCGGAAGGGGUGUAUUUAUUAGAUACAAAACCAAUGCCCUUCGGGGCUCUUUGGUGAUUCAUGAUAACUAUACGAAUCGCACGGUCUUGCGCCGGCGAUGGUUCAUUCAAAUUUCUUCCCUAUCAACUUUCGAUGUUUGGGUAUUGGCCAAACAUGGUUGCAACGGGUAACGGAGGGUUAGGGCUCGGCCCCGGAGAAGGAGCCUGAGAAACGGCUACUACAUCCAAGGAAGGCAGCAGGCGCGCAAAUUACCCAAUCCCGACUCGGGGAGGUAGUGACAAUAAAUACUGAUACAGGGCCCUUUCGGGCCUUGUAAUUGGAAUGAGUACAAUUUAAAUCCCUUAACGAGGAACAAUUGGAGGGCAAGUCUGGUGCCAGCAGCCGCGGUAAUUCCAGCUCCAAUAGCGUAUAU
rnacentral:rRNA from 1 species